rnacentral:rRNA from 1 species
AGCGAACGCUGGCGGCAGGCCUAACACAUGCAAGUCGAACGAACUCUUCGGAGUUAGUGGCGGACGGGUGAGUAACACGUGGGAACGUGCCUUUAGGUUCGGAAUAACUCAGGGAAACUUGUGCUAAUACCGAAUGUGCCCUUCGGGGAAAGAUUAUCGCCUUUAGAGCGGCCCGCGUCUGAUUAGCUAGUUGGUGAGGUAAAGGCUCACCAAGGCUACGAUCAGUAGCUGGUCUGAGAGGAUGACCAGCCACAUUGGGACUGAGACACGGCCCAAACUCCUACGGGAGGCAGCAGUGGGGAAUCUUGCGCAAUGGGCGAAAGCCUGACGCAGCCAUGCCGCGUGGAUGAUGAAGGUCUUAGGAUUGUAAAAUCCUUUCACCGGUGAAGAUAAUGACUGUAGCCGGAGAAGAAGCCCCGGCUAACUUCGUG